rnacentral:rRNA from 1 species
CUGUCCCUACGGGGGGCAGCAGUGAGUACUAUUGGUCAAUUUUCGGUAGCCUGAACCAGCCAAGUAGCGUGAAGGAUGAAGGUUCUAUGGAUUGUAAACUUCUUUUAUAAAGGAAUAAAGUGAGGCACGUGUGCCUUUUUGUAUGUACUUUAUGAAUAAGGAUCGGCUAACUCCGUGCCAGCAGCCGCGGUAAUACGGAGGAUCCGAGCGUUAUCCGGAUUUAUUGGGUUUAAAGGGAGCGUAGAUGGGUUGUUAAGUCAGUUGUGAAAGUUUGCGGCUCAACCGUAAAAUUGCAAUUGAUACUG